rnacentral:rRNA from 1 species
GACAGAGGUGCCGAGCGUUAGGCGGAAUCACUGGGCUUAAAGCGUGUGUAGGCGGACUUCUAAGUACCUUGUGAAAUCCCACGGCUUACCCGUGGAACGGCUGGGUAUACUGGUUGUCUUGAGCCACUUAGGGGCUACCGGAACAAAUGGUGGAGCGGUGAAAUGCGUAGAUAUCAUUUGGAACGCCAAUGGUGAAAACAGGUAGCUGGGAGUGUGCUGACGCUGAGACACGAAAGCCAGGGGAGCGAACGGG